AAGAAAGUAAAUAAGGGCGCAUGGCGGAUGCCUUGGCUCUCGGAGGCGAUGAAGGACGUGAUAAGCUGCGAUAAGCUUCGGGUAGGUGCAAAUGACCUUUGAUCCGAAGAUUUCCGAAUGGGACAACCCGGCAUUCUGAAGGAAUGUCAUCCAACUUUGUUGGAGGCUAACGCAGGGAACUGAAACAUCUUAGUACCUGCAGGAAAAGAAAAUAAAUAAUGAUUCCCCUAGUAGUGGCGAGCGAACGGGGAUUAGCCCAAACCACCCAUGUUACGGCAUGUGUGGGGUUGUAGGACCACGCUCUCGCAAGACAGUUAUUGAGAAGAAACGACUGGAAAGUCGUGCCAUAGACGGUGAUAGCCCGGUAUUCUAAGGUAACCGAAGCGUAGUGGUAUCCUGAGUAGCGCGGAGCACGAGGAAUUCUGCGUGAAUCAGCCGGGACCAUCCGGUAAGGCUAAAUACUCCCGAGAGACCGAUAGCGAACCAGUACUGUGAAGGAAAGGUGAAAAGCACUUCGAAUAGAAGAGUGAAAUAGUCCCUGAAACCAUGCGCCUACAAGCGGUCGGAGCAGCUUAAGUUGUGACGGCGUGCCUUUUGCAUAAUGAACCUACGAGUUACUUUUUCCGGCAAGGUUAAGCAUCUUGAGAUGUGGAUCCGAAGCGAAAGCGAGUCUGAACAGGGCGGAUAGUCGGAAGGAGUAGACGCGAAACCAAGUGAUCUACCCUUGGGCAGGUUGAAGGUUAGGUAACACUAACUGGAGGACCGAACCGAUAAGCGUUGAAAAGCUUCCGGAUGACCUGAGGGUGGGGGUGAAAGGCUAAUCAAACUUGGAGAUAGCUCGUACUCCCCGAAAUGCAUUUAGGUGCAGCCUUGAGAGUUACUAAUGUGAGGUAGAGCGACUGAUAAGAUGCGAGGGCUUCACCGCCUAUCAAGUCUUGAUAAACUCCGAAUGCGCAUUAGUUCUAUCUCAGGAGUGAGGGCAUGGGUGCUAAGGUCCAUGUCCUAAAGGAGAAGAAUCCAGACCAUCAGCUAAGGUCCCCAAAUAAACACUAAGUUGAACUAACGAAGUCAGAUUGCUAAGACAGCUAGGAUGUUGGCUUGGAAGCAGCCAUUCAUUUAAAGAGUGCGUAACAGCUCACUAGUCGAGGAGUUUGGCGUGGAUAAUAAUCGGGCAUAAGUGUUUUACCGAAGCUAUGGGAUCCUAACGGAUCGGUAGGGGAGCAUUCCACUCAGCGUUGAAGGCGAAGCGUGAGCUUUACUGGAGCGUGUGGAAAAGCAAAUGUAGGUAUAAGUAACGAUAAAGGGGGUGAGAAACCCCCUCGCCGCAAGACUAAGGUUUCCUGAUCAACGCUAAUCGGAUCAGGGUUAGUCGGGUCCUAAGGCUCAGCCGAACGGUGAGGCCGAUGGCAGAACAGGUUAAUAUUCCUGUACUACCUAUAGGAGUGAUGUGGAGACGGAGGAGUGACAACGCCGCGGACUGACGGAAUAGUCCGUUAAAGGGUGUAGAUGUUGAUUAUCCCAGGCAAAUCCGGGAUAAGAGUCGAACCUGACAGUAUACCAAUUUCC
rnacentral:rRNA from 1 species